GGUGGAAACUCCAUGCUUCCAUGGAACCAGCUGUAGAGGAGUGGUGAUGCAAUGAGCAUCCUGGAAGUUUAGUUGUCAUUUGUUACCUUUUGGAUAAUGGAGUAGAUUUCUGAAGCUAUUUCUCCUUGUUUGGUGUUCUGCCUGCAAUUUGGACAAGUGGACUUCAGAUUAUGUCUUCAGAGACUGAAAGGCUUGGCAUAAGAAGUCUCUCACCCUAAACAUCACAGCUGGGAAUAUGCUGGACCACAACUAAAGCCAGCAUGGCGCUGACUCUGACCAAAGUUGAGACCCAGUACUCAUCAAGGAAUAGCUUCCAGGGGUCCUAGCAAGGUGCAUCCCAGUGUCAAGAAUGCACUGCAUUCAGAGAAAUUCAAACUAUGGAUUCCCACCAGCUAUUUAUAAUUCAUUUACAGUCCUCCCAGAGCAGCUACGCAUGGCUUUAACUCAUUCAGAUUACAUGGAGUGAAUAUGAGACGGGGUGGUUCCCCAGAGAAAGACUGGGAUAAGACACCAGCACAAUGCAAAGGGAUGAUGGGAGGCCAAAGCUACAGAUAUCCACCACACCUACUCUGAUCAAGAAUUUUUGAACUUCUGGACAUAAAGCCAGAUUGGAAGAAGUACUAUGAUGCCAGUGUGUUGUCAUUUCUGGAACAUACUUUUUGGGCAAUAGAAGUAUGAAGUGCUCUGAAGGCUGCCAACAAAAUGUCAAGUCAGUCCACUGGCAAAAAGGAAGAGAAACCGUGGAAAAACAUUAUUGCUUAUGUUCCCUCUGAAUCUGAGCAGCUGACCUGAGGAAGGAGUAUCUUCCAAGAACUAUUCACAAACAGGUCAGAGAAGAGGGUUUCACUUAGGAUUACCUUGCCAACAAGCGCCGACUGUGAGUUGCAUGGCUAUGUGAGAUGGAUGAAUGGGCC